UUGAAAAAAACACAGCUGCUGACGUAUCCAUGUUUUGACGGAAUCUCAGUGUACAACAAUUUUGCCGACAGAUCACCAGGUACCAUUAGAUCAAACGUAACGGAACGAUAUAUUUCUAAGCGGUCAUGGGGUCUUCAAUAAGAGAAAGGCAGAUCAAUCUGUUAAAGCAAAUGAUCAACUUCAACCAGCCAAUAACCAAAUCCACUAUCAUGGAACCAUCAUGGAAAAUACUGGUGUAUGACAAGUAUGGACAGGAUAUUAUAUCUCCUAUUUUGUCAGUCAAGGAACUACAAGAAUUAGGUGUCACACUCCAUGUCCAACUUCAUUCACCUCGAGAUGCUGUUCCUGAUGUACCUGCCAUUUAUUUCUGUCUACCAACUGAAGAAAACCUAGGGCGAAUCAGCCAAGAUCUACAAAAUCAACUGUAUGAAUCAUAUUACUUCAACUUCAUCUCAUCCAUAUCUCGCCAAAGAUUGGAAGACUUGGCUUCUGCUGCAAUCAAUGCCCAGAGUGUUGCCCAAAUUUUAAAAGUUUGUGAUCAAUACCUAAAUUUCAUCUCAUUGGAAGAUGAUUUAUUUAUCCUGAGAAACCAGAAUAGUGACAUGAUAUCCUACUACUCUAUGAACAAGGGAGAAAUCACAGAUACAGAAAUGAACAAUAUUUUGGAUGGAAUUGUAGAUAGUUUAUUCUCCCUAUUUGCGACGUUGGGUACUGUUCCAGUGAUUCGAAGUCCUAAAGGAAAUGCAGCAGAGAUGGUAGCUGAAAAACUAGAUAAAAAGCUGAGAGAGAGUUUAAGAGAUACUCGAAGUGGGCUUUUUACCUCUGACUUGACACAGAGUUUUGGAUUUCAAAGGCCUUUACUGGUUCUUCUCGAUCGCAACUUGGAUAUGGCUACACCUCUUCAUCAUACGUGGACUUAUCAAGCCCUUGUCCAUGAUGUUUUGGACUUCACGUUAAAUCGUGUAGUCGUACAGGAAGCAGAGAAUGAUACUAACCAUCAGCAGGAUGGCCAUCGGCAUUCUCAUCCUCACAAAGCGAAAAUAAAAACGUGUGAUUUGAACCCAUCAGACAAAUUUUGGGUCUCUUACAGAGGUAGUCCUUUUCCGACUGUGGCCGAAUCCAUUCAAGAAGAACUGGAAGAUUACAAAGCGUCAGAGGGUGAAGUGAAACGACUAAAAGAAUCAAUGGGAUUAGAUCCUGACGGAGAGGCCGCCAUGAGUUUAAUAUCCAAUACAACAGCGAAACUUACUUCAGCAGUGAGCUCUCUGCCCCAGCUUCUGGAGAGAAAGCGACUGCUAGAUAUGCAUACCACCAUAGCAACAGCUAUCCUGGAGCAAAUUAAGCAGCGGAAAUUGGAUCUAUUGCUCGAAGUGGAGGAAAAGGUCAUGAGCAAAAACGCCUUAGACCGAUCGGUUUUGGACAUUAUAAGUGACCCUGAAUGUGGAACUCCAGACGAUAAACUUAGGCUCUUCCUAGUCUAUUUCAUUUGUUCACCAAACAUGACUGAGUCCGAGACUGACCAGUAUGCUGCCGCCCUUCAGGCUGCUGGAUGCAAUUUAGCAGCUUUGCGCUAUUUAAAACGUUGGAAGUCUUGCAGCAAGAUAGUGUCUGGUUCAAGCCAAUACUCAGGAGGCGGGACCAGAACAGUGAACAUGUUUACCAAACUCAUGUCUCAGGGCUCAAAUUUUGUCAUGGAGGGUGUUAAGAACCUAGUUGUCAAGAAACAUAAUUUACCUGUAACACGAAUUGUCGACAAUUUAAUGGAACUUAAGCCUUCACCAGAAACGGACGAGUAUCGUUAUUUCGAUCCAAAGCUAUUGAAACCUGGUGAAGGCGUUAGUCCUGCUCCUAUUAAAAGCCGAGCCCAAUUCCAAGAUGCUAUUGUAUUUAUGGUCGGCGGAGGAACCUACGCCGAAUACCAAAAUUUGGUCGACUAUGCUAAAUCCAAAACGGUGGGUGGCAACGCCAAGAAAAUUGUUUAUGGAUGUUCUACUCUUAACAACGGGAAUCAAUUUCUUAAGCAGUUGGCAAUGUUGGGUGAAGAUAUCCAGUAAAUGGAAACGUUUUCGAAAAAUUUUCUCUCUUGAUUGGUUUGAAAGAAAUUAAAUAAAAAAUGACAGCAUUCAUAAAGAAUGAGACCAAACAAAGAGUAUUCUCAAAGUUUGAUUGAAGCGUUGACCAGCUGUCCUUAAGCACUCCCGAUAAGUUUUCUGCCCGUUUACACAACUCAUGCUCUUCGCUCAAAGAACUAGCAUGAACCUUUAAAAAAAGCCCUAAAUAGGCUUGAACGACUUCAUAAUUACGCUUAGAUUCCAGUACGACAGAGAUGGAAGUUAAGAACUGGGACAACAGAUGGGUUGAUCCUCCCAGAUGAGGACUGAGGGAACGAAUUUCGGUAUCGAUGGCUGAGGGUCCCAUUGUUUUGAGCUCUUCUAUGACACCUGCAUCUACUCGAUAAAAGAAAUAUCGUUAAGUUUGCCGGCCCACGGAGUUAAGGGUAUUGCGAAUGGGGUGCUGGACGAUUCCAAAAUGCGAGAAACGGAUUCUUUCUGGCUGUCUGCUAUCGCUUCAAGGCUAUUGGUGUUUGUGAGGAAAAAAGGAGCAAGUUUCUGCACCUUUGGUGGCUCUUUAGGCCUGUUGCGUCGCUAGAAUGCAAGAAAAGGGACGUUAGCGAUUUUUUAUUUAAUGCAUAUGAAUUUAUUCAAAUAACUUACUUUGACAGCAUCAAGAUUCAGAAGAUUCUUCCAUCUUGAAUCAGGAAGUAAUGAAAGAGUCACAAGAGAGUCGGAAAUUUGUUCCGGAGAUGCAAACUGUUCGUCUUCCUCCAUUGUUUCACUAACUUCGAUUUCGGAACAGCUACUCCUUGCAGUGGAUCCUGGUAAUGGAGCCACUUUAGGUUGGAAAUCUGCUUCCAGUGACCGCAAAGACACUUGCGUAUAUAGUGACUGAUUAUUCCACAAAUAAAUGCCAAGAUCGUCCACGUGUGCUGUAGCAAGAAAACUACCAUUGGCACUAAAGGUAAUGGAAACACAGGACUUCGGAACAAGAAAAUAAUCGAUACACCUGUCAAAGACAAGAUCCAUCAAAUUCUGCUGACUGAAAUUAUUUCAAGAGAAAUCGACACUAACGUUCCAGUAGGCAGAUCCCAGGUUCGAAUACUACAGUCCUGGGCGGACGAUACCACCCAACGAGCAUCCGGACUGAACGCCAAGUCAGUUAACCGCCCAUCAUGUCCAAGAAGCCGGCGAACAAUUUUGCCCGUCUCUACUUCCACGAUGGCAAUUGAAAAAUCUUCCAUUGCGAUAGCCAGAAGCCCACUGCACCAAAAAAUUAUUAAACCAAAUUCCACGUAAAGCAAUCAUCCUUCAGUCCUUUACCUGUGUCUAUUAAUUUCAGUAAAGCUAGGAGCCACCUCGAGGUUUGUUUCUCUCACAAUUUCUCCAGACUUGAAGUUCCACGUGUUUAACUGACCAUUAGCAAAAACUCCCAAAACUACCUGCACGACGCAAGAAUUUCCCCUACUGUAAUUAUUGGAAUAAAAUACACUUUUAAAAAUUGAA
rnacentral:misc_RNA from 1 species